UGCAAGUCGAACGAUGAAGCCUUUCGGGGUGGAUUAGUGGCGAACGGGUGAGUAACACGUGGGCAAUCUGCCCUGCACUCUGGGACAAGCCCUGGAAACGGGGUCUAAUACCGGAUACGACACAUCACUGCAUGGUGAAUGUGUGGAAAGCUCCGGCGGUGCAGGAUGAGCCCGCGGCCUAUCAGCUUGUUGGUGGGGUAAUGGCCUACCAAGGCGACGACGGGUAGCCGGCCUGAGAGGGCGACCGGCCACACUGGGACUGAGACACGGCCCAGACUCCUACGGGAGGCAGCAGUGGGGAAUAUUGCACAAUGGGCGAAAGCCUGAUGCAGCGACGCCGCGUGAGGGAUGACGGCCUUCGGGUUGUAAACCUCUUUCAGCAGGGAAGAAGCGCAAGUGACGGUACCUGCAGAAGAAGCACCGGCUAACUACGUGCCAGCAGCCGCGGUAAUACGUAGGGUGCGAGCGUUGUCCGGAAUUAUUGGGCGUAAAGAGCUCGUAGGCGGCGUGUCACGUCGGAUGUGAAAGCCCGGGGCUUAACCCCGGGUCUGCAUUCGAUACGGGCAGGCUAGAGUUCGGUAGGGGAGAUCGGAAUUCCUGGUGUAGCGGUGAAAUGCGCAGAUAUCAGGAGGAACACCGGUGGCGAAGGCGGAUCUCUGGGCCGAUACUGACGCUGAGGAGCGAAAGCGUGGGGAGCGAACAGGAUUAGAUACCCUGGUAGUCCACGCCGUAAACGUUGGGAACUAGGUGUGGGCGACAUUCCACGUCGUCCGUGCCGCAGCUAACGCAUUAAGUUCCCCGCCUGGGGAGUACGGCCGCAAGGCUAAAACUCAAAGGAAUUGACCGGGGCCCGCACAAGCGGCGGACCAUGUGGGUUAAUUCGAACGCACCCGGAAGAACC
rnacentral:rRNA from 1 species